CUACACCUCUAAUCCUCAACAUGGAAAUUGUAGUUUGUAAUAAUAGAAAAUAUGUAGAUUGUAAUAUGCUUUCUGGUUACGUUCUGGUGAGUUAUAACUUAAUUUUUUAUUUUUACAGCUACCGAGGGAACGAGCAAACCGCCUUGAGGAGUCCCUGCAUAAGAGACUAGUGGAUACAGAAGGCUAUACUAAAGGAAGAUCUCAUCACAGCAUCAUCCAAGCCCUAGUCAGGAGUAUAUGAGGCCUCUUAAGAGUAAAGAGCGGCUAACAAUAUCUGAUAAUAGGCCACAUGUGCAAUUAUUAUGUAUGUAAUUAAUGUACAACAUACUUUUUCACUUUUUUGUUACAUUAGAAAUUAACAAAUAUG